rnacentral:rRNA from 1 species
GAUGAACGCUGGCGGCGUGCCUAAUACAUGCAAGUCGAGCGAACAGACGAGGAGCUUGCUCCUCUGACGUUAGCGGCGGACGGGUGAGUAACACGUGGAUAACCUACCUAUAAUACUGGGAUAACUUCGUGAAACCGGAGCUAAUACCGGAUAAUAUAUUGAACCGCAUGGUUCAAUAGUGAAAGACGGUUUUGCUGUCACUUAUAGAUGGAUCCGCGCCGCAUUAGCUAGUUGGUAAGGUAACGGCUUACCAAGGCAACGAUGGGUAGCCGACCUGAGAGGGUGAUCGGCCACACUGGAACUGAGACGCGGUCCAGACUCCUACGGGAGGCAGCAGUAGGGAAUCUUCCGCAAAGGGGGAAAGCUUGACGGAGCAACGCCGCGUGAGUGAUGAAGGUCUUCGGAUCGUAAAACUCUGUUAUUAGGGAAGAACAAAUGUGUAAGUAACUAUGCACGUCUUGACGGUACCUAAUCAGAAAGCCACGGCUAACUACGUG